GUUGGAAUUGAGGAUGAGGACAGCGUAGACGGCCCCAUGGUUGGAGUUCGAAUGCUCCGGUCCCUAUGGUGCAAUUGCUGUUGGUACGUUUUCAACAGGUUCCUCGCAUGCAUGUCCACUUGGGUUAAGAGGAUCACUAGAGUUGGGUCCCCUGUGGUCCUUGGUGUGUUGGGUUCGGUCUCGGAUACCGGAGUUGCAUUAACCCCCUGCUUUUCUUCGGUUUGUACGGCCACCGUCUUCAUUUUCCCGCUUUGUGGUAGCAUACCAGUCGAAAUGCUAGGUCCCGGUUGACACCAUUGUACACCCGCAAAGUUGCCUCGUAGUGAAAUGGGUAGUAUGGCGUACGGAAACCGACAAUAAAGGCGGUGUUGUCGAACAUGUUGCGUGGUACGCCUUUGGCCAGUGACGUCCUGAAGUCGCUGAAGCCGAUUUGGUCAGGAGAACUGAUACGUAGAUAGCCGAUUGCGGCACGGUGUGUCGGCUCGUCAUGCCACUGGGCGAACAGGACGCGAAUUUCCCCGCCAGUCGCUUGUGACUCGAAUGGCGGUGC